rnacentral:rRNA from 1 species
GUGCCUAAGAAAUGCAAGUCGAGCGGGUCGGCAGCAAUGCCGGUCAGCGGCGAACGGUCGCGUAACACGUAGGCAACCUGCCCGAAAGACCGGGACAACUCCUCGAAAGGGGGGCUAAUACCGGAUGCGCCCUCCUCCAGGAUCUGGGGGAGAGUAAAGCCUCGCAAGGGGGCUUUCGGAGGGGCCUGCGGCCUAUCAGCUAGAUGGGGAGGUAACGGCUCACCAUGGCGACGACGGGUAGCUGGUCUGAGAGGAUGGUCAGCCGGACUGGGACUGAGAGACGGCCCAG